GAUGAAGAACGUAGCGAAAUGCGAUAAGUAAUGUGAAUUGCAGAAUUCCGUGAAUCAUCGAAUCUUUGAACGCACAUUGCGCCCCCUGGCAUUCCGGGGGGCAUGCCUGUCCGAGCGUCAUUUCUGCCCUCCAGCCCGGCUGGGUGUUGGGCGCUGUCCCCCCGGGGACACGCCCCAAAGGCAGUGGCGGCGCCGCGUCGGGUCCUCGAGCGUAUGGGGCUUUGUCACCCGCUCGGGACGGACUCGUCGGCGCUGGUCUUCCUCCAGGCGACCCUUCGGGGCUCGUCUUCCUUCGGUUGACCUCGGAUCAGGUAGGGUUACCCGCUGAACUUAAGCAUAUCAAUAGCGGAGGA
rnacentral:misc_RNA from 1 species